AUUUUUUUUGUGCUCUUUCAAAAUCAUUUAAUAAUCAUACGUCUAAUGAUUAUACUUUUAAAGUAUUGCUUCCUGAAGCAAUACUGUAUCUUUUUGCAAAGGUGCAAAGAAUUUCAAGAAUCAAAGCUGAAGUAUUGUUAAGUUCAUAUUCUUUGCAAAGGAAUAAUGAACUGUUAAAUAAAAUCUCAGAUGAAGAUAAUGAUUUUAUUUUGG
rnacentral:lncRNA from 1 species